GGGCCCGCACAAGCGGUGGAGCAUGUGGUUUAAUUCGAUGCAACGCGCAGAACCUUACCUGGGUUUGACAUCCUCGGAUCGAUACAGAGAUGUAUUUUCUUCUUCGGAAGUCGAGUGACAGGUGCUGCAUGGCUGUCGUCAGCUCGUGUCGUGAGAUGUUGGGUUAAGUCCCGCAACGAGCGCAACCCUUAUCCUUAGUUGCCAGCGAUUCGGUCGGGGACUCUAAGGAGACUGCCGGUGUCAAGCCGGAGGAAGGUGGGGAUGACGUCAAGUCCUCAUGGCCCUUAUGCCCAGGGCUACACACGUGCUACAAUGGCCGGUACAAAGAGCUGCGAAGCGGUGACGUGGAGCUAAUCUCAAAAAGCCGGUCUCAGUUCGGAUUGGAGUCUGCAACUCGACUCCAUGAAGUCGGAAUUGCUAGUAAUCGC
rnacentral:rRNA from 1 species